rnacentral:RNase_P_RNA from 1 species
GAGCGGCGGUGGGCGGCUGACCCGACGGUGAAAGCCGGAGGGAGGAAAGUCCCCCCACCGUUAAAGGCGGAUCCCCGUAAGGGGAUACCCCGAGAGGGGUGGCAACGGCACAGAAACGAUACCCGCAUGGAGCUAUGCAAUGAGGCUGAAAAGCCGAGAUCAUCCAUGCGGGAUGAAACGGCCGACCCCGCUGGUGCAACGCUUUGCGGCUUAGACUGAUGCCGCCAGAACAGAAGGGGGCUUACUACCGCCACUC